CCUACGGGUGGCAGCAGUGAGGAAUAUUGGUCAAUGGGCGGGAGCCUGAACCAGCCAAGUCGCGUGAGGGAAGACGGUCCUAUGGAUUGUAAACCUCUUUAGGCGGGGAGCAAUGCCGGGCACGUGUGCCCGGAGGGAGAGUACCCGCAGAAUAAGCAUCGGCUAACUCCGUGCCAGCAGCCGCGGUAAUACGGAGGUGGCAAGCGUUAUCCGGAUUUAUUGGGUGUAAAGGGCGUGUAGGCGGGAGCGCAAGUCAGAUGUGAAAACUCAGGGCUCAACCCUGAGCCUGCAUUUGAAACUGUGUUUCUUGAGUGCUGGAGAGGCAAUCGGAAUUCCGUGUGUAGCGGUGAAAUGCGUAGAUAUACGGAGGAACACCAGUGGCGAAGGCGGAUUGCUGGACAGUAACUGACGCUGAGGCGCGAAAGCGUGGGGAGCAAACAGGAUUAGAUACCCCGGUAGUC
rnacentral:rRNA from 1 species